AAUACUACUGGGCAUUAAAAAUUACUAGGAAAAAUUAAAAAAUUCAGGCCAGGAGCAAAGUACGUAAGUUCAAAAAUGCUUCCCAAUUUCAACCCUUCCCAUUAUGCUUUUCAUUUUCCUUUCUAGUCCAUAGGCCUUUUAUUUUAUUUUGCAUAAAAGAAAAUUAGCUUCAAAAUCUUUCACUAAGCACUCAUUGUUAAUUAAAUAUGAUUGUGUCAGCUAUAAUAAUUUUAGCUCCUCUUCGUUAGCUAAAAAGAUACUAUUCAAAUACAACUAUUGGUGAUGGCGAAAUAUAAUUUAAAAACGAAUGGUUCAAUUCAGUUUUUUCAUCAAUAAAAACUUUGCUUUAUUAUAAAACCCAUUAAAUUCAACAAAUUUCUGGAUUCAGAUGAAUCACCGCAAAUCAGAUGCCAACCUGGAACAACAAAUUAAUUCAUAUUUAUUACUUUCAAUAGUUGCGUCUGUGGAAUAGUUCUUCAUGAUGAAUUAUAUCAGUUAGAGCUAAUAAUUGAAUAAUCAUGAUAGAUUCAGUCACUGAUUUCAUCAUUAAAGGUUCUUCACAAAAAAUUUUAAGACAGUUUUGGUAUUUCCAGAAUAAUUACCUAUAUUACACUGGUCAGCAUGAUGGGUGCAGUCACCUGUUAUUAUCUGAAAGUAAAUUAUGCUCAAAUAGAUUUGCAAUGUUUUGAAUAAAUGGGAAUCUUAAUUCGUGAUUUCAAUUCAGUGGUAGUGACGAAACAUUGAAUUUUACAUAGAUCGAUUCAAUUAUAGUUAAUGCAUCAUUAAUAAUUUUAUAAGGGUGAGCCUUAUAAUGAUCAGGAACUAUGGAAUGCCUAAAUUGUAAAUACCAUUGAAUAUGUGGCGAAGUCAACAGCAGCACUCAACUUUUUCAAUCAUUAGGCUCUCUCUAUUCUGGAAAAGAAAAAUUAUAUAUCUAUAUAGCGAUGUGCCGUGGCUCUUAAAAAAUAGUUUCGAGUUAAAAAAUAUAUCAGAUAGGAGCGAAAGACAUUGCUACGUGUGUACAUCAAAGUUCAUCAGUUGAACUAUGAAAUCAUCAUUUAAAACACCAGCCACUGUUAUCAUAGACUCUAUAGGAAAUAUCUAACGCCAAUGAUUGAACAUUGCAAUUCCGAAGUGAAAAAUCCCUUCAUUUUAAUGAUAAAUAAAAAUUACCGUUGUACGCAUGGCGAUGCCAACAGCAGCACUGAACUUCGUUAAUCAUGAGGAUUCCCUCCAUUCUGGAAAUAAAAUAUGGAAUUAGAUAUAAUGGAUAUUUAUAAGAUGUUGACAAAUGUUUGAUCAAAAAAUUAUAUCAGAUAGGAGCGAAAGACAUUGCUACGUGUGUGCAUCAAUAUUCGUCAGUUGAACUAUGAAAUCAUCAUAUUAAUUCAUUAUUUCCGAUUUUUUAAAUACUUUUCAGCAUAAAGUAAUAGAUACAUACUCAUGAUAUUGUGGUUUUCUGUUCUCACUCCAUCAAAUUUGAUUCCCUGAUUUGAUCUGGAAUAAAUAAAUGAUGAAUUUAGAUUCGAAUGUCUCAAGUUUAGAUUAUUCGAUUUGGUAGUAAUCAUAAAUCAGAUAGGAGCGAAAGACAUUGCUGUAGUAUAGCAUCAAAGUUUCUCAGCUGAACUAUGAAAUCAUCAUUUAAAAUGUUCUUAUUAGACAUACAAGAAAUAAACUUUCCAUCUUUUUAACAUACCUCUAUCCAUGAUAGAUUUUUCAUGGCUUCUUGAAAGUAGCUUGGACGAAAAUUCUGGGGACGUCAAUGUUUUCUUUCAAAUUGAUUGUUCGUCUCUGAACAUACAUACAAGUCACCAUUUCAAACCCACUUGCUUGGAAUAUUUCUUCGACUUCUGAUGUGGAAAAAUAGUAACUUCUACAAAUUCACCAAAAACAAA